UAGUUUCCUUGGGCCCCUUUGAGAGAGAUUUCGGUUGCUACCCUUGAUACUUUGUAUGCUGCCAUCUUGUUUGGUCCCUUUGUGAGACCUAUUAUAUCACCCAUCACCAACACUUUGACUGAUGACAUGGCUACUAGUUCGACCCCAUGUCUAUCCGGUUUUCUCCCUACUUGCUAUUAUCCUCCUGUCGCCUUUGUGCAUGGCUGUCUCUGCAUGAUUACUUGGGUUAUAUUGACCUCCACAAAAUCGUAUCAGAGCCUUCAGUGGCUCGAUUGGUGGCUAGUUUUCAAUCCUAUCGACUAAAAAUUGGAGUUACAGCGAUCGAGGCAUGUGUAUGGUGUGCAAUUGAGGAGUAGGUCAGCUGUUUUGCCAAUAAGGGCUUGAAUUUUUAAUUAAUUUCGCAUCUCUCUUUGUUAUGAACUACAAACAGGUCUCCUUAGGUAAUUUUGUUGAAACUCCUUAAAUUACUGCAAUAGCAGGUCAUCAUGUGAGAUGACCAAAAGGAUUGCAGCCUUACUUGAUACUAGUAUUUUAGGACUAUUUCCCUAAAUUUGUGAUAUUAUCGUUUUUGUGGCUAUAUUGAUAGUUGUUCACUU